GAAAGGCAAAGUUUAAUUUGCAUACAGGAGUAACCCACACCUCACCUGGCAAGUGUUAGGCCACAGCACAAACCCCUGUCGGAGUCAGAGAUGUCAGCAGAUGUGCAAAGUAACUGGACACAAACAAUAUAGUUCUCCAAGUAAUACAUGGGUUUGUCCAUCACACACACAAAUAACAAACACACUUAAAUGCUCUGCAAAAGAGAGAUGAGGAUGGUAAUCAAAUUAUGUAUUUAUACCUACAAGAUGGUUGUUUUCUACUUUAGUUCCUCCCUGCCUUAAUUUUAAGUCACUAACAG
rnacentral:lncRNA from 1 species